rnacentral:rRNA from 1 species
AUUGAACGCUGGCGGCAGGCCUAACACAUGCAAGUCGAACGAGUGGCGGACGGGUGAGUAAUGUCUGGGAAACUGCCUGAUGGGGGGGGAUAACUACUGAAAACGGUCGCUAAUACCGCAUACCAUCGGAUGUGCCCAGAUGGGAUUAGCUAGUAGGUGGGGAAAAGGCUCACUUAGGCGACGAUCCCUAGCUGGUCUGAGAGGAGGACCAGCCACACUGGAACGUAGACACGGCCCAGACGCCUACGUGAGGCAGCAGUGGGGAAUAUUGCACAAUGGGCGCAAGCCUGAUGCAGCCAUGCCGCGUGUAUGAAGAAGGCCUUCGGGUUGUAAAGUACUUUCAGCGGGGAGGCGUUACCCGCAGAAGAAGCACCGGCUAACUCCGUGCCAGCAGCCGCGGUAAUAC